GAGGGUGUAGCUCAGUGGUAGAGCGCAUGCUUAACAUGCAUGACGUCCUGUGUUCAAUCCACAGUACCACCA
rnacentral:tRNA from 1 species